GAUGAAGAACGCAGCGAAAUGCGAUAAGUAAUGUGAAUUGCAGAAUUCAGUGAAUCAUCGAAUCUUUGAACGCACAUUGCGCCCCUUGGUAUUCCGGGGGGCAUGCCUCUUCCAGCGUCAUUUCACCCCUCAAGCUCAGCUUGGUGUUGGGCCCCGCCGUCCCGGCGGGCCCUAAAGUCAGUGGCGGUGCCGUCCGGCUCCGAGCGUAGUAAUUCUUCUCGCUCUGGAGGUCCGGUCGUGUGCUCGCCAGCAACCCCCAAUUUUUUCAGGUUGACCUCGGAUCAGGUAGGGAUACCCGCUGAACUUAAGCAUAUCAAUAAGCGGAGGA
rnacentral:misc_RNA from 1 species